rnacentral:rRNA from 1 species
UACGUAGGGUGCGAGCGUUGUCCGGAAUUAUUGGGCGUAAAGGGCUCGUAGGCGGUUUGUCGCGUCGGGAGUGAAAACACACAGCUUAACUGUGUGCUUGCUUCCGAUACGGGCAGACUAGAGGUAUGCAGGGGAGACUGGAAUUCCUGGUGUAGCGGUGGAAUGCGCAGAUAUCAGGAGGAACACCGGUGGCGAAGGCGGGUCUCUGGGCAGUAACUGACGCUGAGGAGCGAAAGCGUGGGGAGCGAACAGG